rnacentral:rRNA from 1 species
GACGAACGCUGGCGGCGUGCCUAAUACAUGCAAGUAGAACGCUGAAGGAGGAGCUUGCUUCUCUGGAUGAGUUGCGAACGGGUGAGUAACGCGUAGGUAACCUGCCUGGUAGCGGGGGAUAACUAUUGGAAACGAUAGCUAAUACCGCAUAAGAGUAGAUGUUGCAUGACAUUUGCUUAAAAGGUGCAAUUGCAUCACUACCAGAUGGACCUGCGUUGUAUUAGCUAGUUGGUGGGGUAACGGCUCACCAAGGCGACGAUACAUAGCCGACCUGAGAGGGUGAUCGGCCACACUGGGACGGAGACACGGCCCAGACUCCUACGGGAGGCAGCAGUAGGGAAUCUUCGGCAAUGGACGGAAGUCUGACCGAGCAACGCCGCGUGAGUGAAGAAGGGUUUCGGAUCGUAAAGCUCUGUUGUAAGAGAAGAACGAGUGUGAGAGUGGAAAGUUCACACUGUGACGGUAGCUUACCAGAAAGGGACGGCUAACUACGUG